CAGUUCAGAUUGUAGGCUGAAACUCGCCUAUAUGAAGUCGGAAUUGCUAGUAAUCGCAGAUCAGCAUGCUGCGGUGAAUACGUUCCCGGGCCUUGUACACACCGCCCGUCACACCAUGAGAGUCGAUAACACCCGAAGCCUGUAGUCUAACCAUUAGGGGGACGCAGUCGAAGGUGGGAUUGAUAAUUAGGGUGAAGUCGUAACAAGGUAUC
rnacentral:rRNA from 1 species